GAUGAACGCUGGCGGCGUGCCUAAUACAUGCAAGUCGAGCGAAUGGAUUAAGAGCUUGCUCUUAUGAAGUUAGCGGCGGACGGGUGAGUAACACGUGGGUAACCUGCCCAUAAGACUGGGAUAACUCCGGGAAACCGGGGCUAAUACCGGAUAACAUUUUGAACCGCAUGGUUCGAAAUUGAAAGGCGGCUUCGGCUGUCACUUAUGGAUGGACCCGCGUCGCAUUAGCUAGUGGGUGAGGUAACGGCUAACCAAGGAAACGCUGCGUAGCCGACCUGAGAGGGUGAUCGGCCACACUGGGACUGAGACACGGCCCAGACUCCUACGGGAGGCAGCAGUAGGGAAUCUUCCGCAAUGGACGAAAGUCUGACGGAGCAACGCCGCGUGAGUGAUGAAGGCUUUCGGGUCGUAAAACUCUGUUGUUAGGGAAGAACAAGUGCUAGUUGAAUAAGCUGACACCUUGACGGUACCUAACCAGAAAGCCACGGCUAACUACGUGCCAGCCGCCGCCGUAA
rnacentral:rRNA from 1 species